rnacentral:rRNA from 1 species
CCCUUAGAUGUCCUGGGCCGCACGCGCGCUACACUGAUGCAUGCAACGAGUUUAUAACCUUGGCCUGAAAGGUCUGGGUAAUCUUUUGAACGUGCAUCGUGAUAGGGAUAGAUUAUUGCAAUUGUUAAUCUUGAACGAGGAAUUCCUAGUAAACGCGAGUCAUCAGCUCGCAUUGAUUACGUCCCUGCCCUUUGUACACACCGCCCGUCGCGCCUACCGAUUGAAUGGUUCGGUGAAGAUCUCGGACUUCGAUAUUUAUUCUUUAUUGAGUUUAUAUUGUGGGAAGUUAUCUAAACCUCAUCAUUUAGAGGAAGGUGAAGUCGUAACA